UACGAAGGGGGCUAGCGUUGCUCGGAAUCACUGGGCGUAAAGCGCACGUAGGCGGAUCUUUAAGUCAGGGGUGAAAUCCCAAGGCUCAACCUUGGAACUGCCUUUGAUACUGGGGAUCUCGAGUCCGGAAGAGGUGAGUGGAACUGCGAGUGUAGAGGUGAAAUUCGUAGAUAUUCGCAAGAACACCAGUGGCGAAGGCGGCUUACUGGUCCAUAACUGACGCUGAGGUGCGAAAGCUAGGGGAGCAAACAGG
rnacentral:rRNA from 1 species